rnacentral:misc_RNA from 1 species
CCGAGUUUACAACUCCCAAACCCCUGUGAACAUACCCUUAUGUUGCCUCGGCGGAUCAGCCCGCGCCCCGUAAAACGGGACGGCCCGCCAGAGGAACCCCUAACUCUGUUUCUAUAGUGGAACUUCUGAGUAAAAACCAUAAUAAAUCA